rnacentral:rRNA from 1 species
CCGCAUACGAUCUGAGGAUGAAAGCGGGGGACCGUAAGGCCUCGCGCGAUCGGAGCGGCCGAUGUCAGAUUAGGUAGUUGGUGGGGUAAAGGCUCACCAAGCCAACGAUCUGUAGCUGGUCUGAGAGGACGACCAGCCGCACUGGGACUGAGACACGGCCCAGACUCCUACGGGAGGCAGCAGUGGGGAAUUUUGGACAAUGGGCGCAAGCCUGAUCCAGCAAUGCCGCGUGCAGGAAGAAGGCCUUCGGGUUGUAAACUGCUUUUGUACGGAACGAAACGGUCCGGGUUAAUACCCUGGGCUAAUGACGGUACCGUAAGAAUAAGCACCGGCUAACUACGUGCCAGCAGCCGCGGUAAUACGUAGGGUGCAAGCGUUAAUCGGAAUUACUGGGCGUAAAGCGUGCG